rnacentral:rRNA from 1 species
CCUACGGGGUGCAGCAGUGAGGAAUAUUGGUCAAUGGGCGGAAGCCUGAACCAGCCAAGUCGCGUGAGGGAUUAAGGCCCUGCGGGUCGUCAACCUCUUUUGCCGGGGAGCAGAGGUCCGGACGUGUCCGGGCCGGGAGAGUACCCGGAGAAAAAGCAUCGGCUAACUCCGUGCCAGCAGCCGCGGUAAUACGGAGGAUGCGAGCGUUAUCCGGAUUUAUUGGGUUUAAAGGGUGCGUAGGCGGAUUGAUAAGUUAGAGGUGAAAUGUCCGGGCUUAACUCGGGAACUGCCUCUAAUACUGUUGAUCUAGAGAGUAGAUGCGGUAGGCGGAAUGUAUGGGGUAGCGGUGAAAUGCUUAGAGAUCAUACAGAACACCGAUUGCGAAGGCAGCUUACCAAUCUAUAUCUGACGUUGAGGCACGAAAGCGUGGGGAGCAAACAGGAUUAGAUACCCCAGUAGUC